ACGACCUUACUUGAACAGGAUCUGUUCUAUAGGUUGUACAACUGUGUCCUUGAGUUCUAAGGAGACAAGAACCAAAGUCUGGUGGAUGAACACUGCUGUGCGGCUAGAGCGUGACUAACAGCUUACGGGCCCUUCGGUCCUACGGCUGUAGAUGAUCGUUCUCGGAUAGGGUUCGCCCUGCCUGGGAUGGUCACAUGGCGGUCUGACAGACU